rnacentral:rRNA from 1 species
UACGUAGGGUCCGAGCGUUGUCCGGAAUUAUUGGGCGUAAAGGGCUCGUAGGCGGUUUGUCGCGUCGGGAGUGAAAACACGGGGCUUAACCCCGUGCCUGCUUCCGAUACGGGCAGACUAGAGGUAUGCAGGGGAGAACGGAAUUCCUGGUGUAGCGGUGAAAUGCGCAGAUAUCGGGAGGAACACCGGUGGCGAAGGCGGUUCUCUGGGCCUUACCUGACGCUGAGGAGCGAAAGCGUGGGGAGCGAACAGG